UAGAUGCGAGAGUAGAGCAUAUCAAUAAGCGGAGGAAAAGAAACUAACAAGGAUUCCCCUAGUAACGGCGAGUGAAGCGGGAAGAGCUCAAAUUUGAAAUCUUAAAGGGUUUCCCUUUACGAAUUGUAGUUUAAAGAAGUGUUUUCUGUUGGAGUUUCGGUAAAAGUUCUUUGGAAUAGGACAUCAUAGAGGGUGAGAAUCCCGUAUUUGACCGUUACUUUCCAGCUGUGUGAUACACUUUCAAAGAGUCGGAUUGUUUGGGAAUGCAGUCCAAAAUGGGUGGUAAAUUUCAUCUAAAGCUAAAUAUUGGCGAGAGACCGAUAGCGAACAAGUACCGUGAGGGAAAGAUGAAAAGAACUUUGAAAAGAGAGUUAAACAGUACGUGAAAUUGUCAAAAGGGAAGCGUUUGACACCAGUGUUGUUUUCUCGAAAAUCAAUUAAAAAUGAUGGGAUUUUGUGUUGUAUUGACUUUAUCAGCUUUCUGCACUUUUUUCCUAUCUUUUUUAAUGCACUUUUCGUUUAACAAGUCAACAUCAAUUUCUUUUGUUGUAAAAGAGUCAUUGGAAGGUGGCUUUCUUUUCGGAGAAAGUGUUUAUAGCCUUUGAUCUCUGCAAUCCGGAGAGACUGAGGUCUGCAGCGUAGACUCUUCGGGGUUAGAUGCAUUUGUGCUAAGCUAUAGCCUUUCUAUAGACAACUUGUUGACCAUGCUCAGUCAUGUAGCUUACUCGCUUAUGCUAUUUUACCUACGCUUAGGAUGUUGACACACGCGCGUGCUCG
rnacentral:rRNA from 1 species